UGAUGUGUAGCUCAAUGGGAGAGCACCGGGUUGUUAACUCGUGGGGAGUUGGUUCAAUUCUAACCACAUCAG
rnacentral:tRNA from 1 species